rfam:Myotis lucifugus cont2.31272, whole genome shotgun sequence.
GAGACACCCUUCUGGGGCAGACUUGCUUCAGUGGGGCUUUGGUGCUCACUGAGUCUGCCCCCUGAGUGUGUCCCU